rnacentral:rRNA from 1 species
CCUACGGGUGGCAGCAGUGGGGAAUAUUGGGCAAUGGACGCAAGUCUGACCCAGCAACGCCGCGUGAAGGAAGAAGGCUUUCGGGUUGUAAACUUGUUUUAGGGGGGAGGAGAAGAAGACGGUACCCCUUGAAUAAGCCACGGCUAACUACGUGCCAGCGGCCGCGGUCAUACGUAGGUGGCAAGCGUUGUCCGGGUUUACUGGGUGUAAAGGGCGUGCAGCCGGAGGGACAAGUCAGAUGUGAAAUCCACGGGCGAAACCCGUGAACUGCAUUUGAAACUGUUUCCCUUGAGUGUCGGAGAGGUAAGCGGAAUUCCUGGUGUAGCGGUGAAAUGCGUAGAUAUAAGGAAGAACACCAGUGGCGAAGGCGGAUUACUGGACGAUAACUGACGGUGAGGCGCGAAAGCGUGGGGAGCAAACAGGAUUAGAUACCCGUGUAGUC